rnacentral:tRNA from 1 species
CAGAAAAUAGUUUAAAUAAAAUAUUAAUUUUGGAGAUUAAUGAUAGGAAUAUUCUUUUUUCUGA